AGUGAACGCUGGCGGUAGGCCUAACACAUGCAAGUCGAACGGCAGCACAGUAAUAGCUUGCUCUUACGGGUGGCGAGUGGCGGACGGGUGAGGAAUACAUCGGAAUCUACUUUUUCGUGGGGGAUAACGUAGGGAAACUUACGCUAAUACCGCAUACGACCUACGGGGGAAAGCAGGGGAUCCUCGGACCUUGCGCGAUUGAAUGAGCCGAUGUCGGAUUAGCUAGUUGGCGGGGUAAAGGCCCACCAAGGCGACGAUCCGUAGCUGGUCUGAGAGGAUGAUCAGCCACACUGGAACUGAGACACGGUCCAGACUCCUACGGGAGGCAGCAGUGGGGAAUAUUGGACAAUGGGCGCAAGCCUGAUCCAGCCAUGCCGCGUGGGUGAAGAAGGCCUUCGGGUUGUAAAGCCCUUUUGUUGGGAAAGAAAAGCAGCAGGUUAAUACCCCGCUGUUCUGACGGUACCCAAAGAAUAAGCACCGGCUAACUUCGUG
rnacentral:rRNA from 1 species